rnacentral:rRNA from 1 species
UACGUAGGCAGCGAGCGUUGUUCGGAGUUACUGGGCGUAAAGCGUGCGUAGGCGGUUUUGUAAGUUUGGUGUGAAAUCUCCCGGCUCAACUGGGAGGGUGCGCCGAAAACUGCAAGGCUGGAGUGUGGGAGAGGUAGGCGGAAUUCCUGGUGUAGCGGUGAAAUGCGUAGAUAUCAGGAGGAACACCUGUGGUGUAGACGGCUUACUGGACCAUGACUGACGCUGAGGCACGAAGGCUAGGGGAGCAAACGGG